rnacentral:rRNA from 1 species
UACGAGGGGAGCUAGCGUUGUUCGGAAUUACUGGGCGUAAAGGGCGCGUAGGCGGUACCAUAAGUCAGAUGUGAAAGCCCCGGGCUUAACCUGGGAGGUGCAUUUGAUACUGUGGAACUGGAGAUCGAGAGAGGAAAGCGGAAUUACGAGUGUAGAGGUGAAAUUCGUAGAUAUUCGUAAGAACACCAGUGGCGAAGGCGGCUUUCUGGCUCGAAACUGACGCUAAGGCGCGAAAGCGUGGGGAGCAAACAGG